AGGGGCAUAGUUCAUCGGUAGAAUGAAGGUCUCCAAAACCUUAGAGGUAGGUUCGAUUCCUACUGCCCCUGCCA
rnacentral:tRNA from 1 species